GAAAAAAGAGAACAUGAACCCAACCUCCAGUUCUGGAUUACCAACAGCCUGGUGGACAUUUCAAACUGGAUGUCCUGGAGGAAUCUCAAAUUCAAUACUUCCAAAACAGAGCUCCCUAUCUUUCUUCCCAAACCCCACCCUUCUGAACAUUCCCAUUUCUCUCAAGGGUUCUACCAGCUUUCCGGUCAUCCAGGUAACUGCACUCCUGUUCCAGUCAUAGAACUCUGAUUCUUUACCCCGUGGAGUACUCAUGACCCCGAAGACUUCAGACAAUAACCAUUCCCAGGAGACCCAAGAACAUCUGUAUUGUCCCAAGAAAUGCCAACCAUGAGAGAACUGUCUCAAGACCCCAGAAUGAUCUUGUUGUAUUCCAACUCCUUUCAUGUAUGUAAAUGGCCCUAGAAUCAGCAGCGUUAAGCCCUCCUUACGAGGGGGGCUUCCAUUUGCAAUUGCUAUUUUACUCACUGUGGAAUUAGUUAUAUUUCUGAUUGUGUCAUGAUUCUCCUGUCUCUAGCAUGCUUUGUACAACUCCAGCCACCCACAGGUUAGAGGCUGGUUCAAAACUACAUUAGAAAGGCAAGCUCUAAUCCCUACAGGGACUCAUAGUUUUAUCACACAUGAACACAGCUUUGAUAAGACAGAGGCAAAUGUGUAACAAACACAGAACAAAAAGGUUACAUAUUUUGAUGUGUAUGUAUUUUUUUCUCCUUCUUGAUACAUUAAGAGAGAAAGAGGCUCAGAAGGUUUGGCAGGAAAGAAAGAAGCAUUUAUCCAAAAUGACCCUGUAUUUAUUUUGUAUCCAUAUAAUAUAGAUCGAUUUAGGUACAAUGUAAGCCCCUGGAGGGCACAGACUAUUUCAUUCUCGUCUUUGUAUCAUCAGCACCUAACAGUGUCUCACGCAUAAUAGGCACUUCAUAAAUUCUUGUUGACUAUUUGAUUACCCAGUAGCACAGUUAAUUUCAGUCAUGACCUAAAUUGUAAACACUACAGAGGAAAAGUGGCCACUUACAACUAGGGUAGAGUUCUUGAAUGAGCCUUAUAAUUCAGGCCUCUAAAUGGGCCCAAACUUCCAAGGACAAGAGUCCUUCUAUGAGUCUAAUAAUAAAGCUUAUGUUUAUGGA